ACCCAGAUGACAAGUCCUAAACAUGGACGAAACGCGCGUCCUGGAU
rnacentral:hammerhead_ribozyme from 1 species